UACGUAGGGGGCAAGCGUUGUCCGGAAUCAUUGGGCGUAAAGAGCGUGUAGGCGGCUUGGUAAGUCCGCUGUGAAAGUCCAGGGCUCAACCCUGGAAUGCCGGUGGAAACUGUCAAGCUUGAGUCCGGAAGAGGCGAGUGGAAUUCCUGGUGUAGCGGUGAAAUGCGCAGAUAUCAGGAGGAACACCGGUGGCGAAGGCGGGUCUCUGGGCCGAUAUUGACGCUGAGGAGCGAAAGCGUGGGGGAGCAAACAGG
rnacentral:rRNA from 1 species